rnacentral:rRNA from 1 species
GAUGAACGCUGGCGGCGUGCCUAAUACAUGCAAGUCGAACGGGGAGUCGCAAUACUCUUAGUGGCGAACGGGUGAGUAACGCGUUGGUACCUGCCCCGAAGCGGGGGAUAACGGACCGAAAGGUCCGCUAAUACCCCAUGUGCUCGGUAACGAGUAAAGGUGAAAACCACUUUGGGAGGGGCCUGCGUCCCAUCAGCUAGUUGGUAAGGUAACGGCUUACCAAGGCGAUGACGGGUAGGGGACCUGAGAGGGUGGCCCCCACAAUGGAACUGAAACACGGUCCAUACACCUACGGGUGGCAGCAGUAGGGAAUAUUGGUAAUGGGCGCAAGCCUGAACCAGCAACGCCGCGUGUGCGAUGACGGCCUUCGGGUUGUAAAGCACUUUUGACUGGGACGAGGAAGGACGGUACCGGUCGAAUCAGCCUCGGCUAACUACGUG